AGAGAAGCACAAACUCACAAGUUCAGUUUCAGUCUUUCUGUACUUCUUAUUUUACAGUGAGAAUCUGAGGCACCUUAUGAGAGAUGAAGGCAGUCAGAUGAUCCAGGCAAAGGAACUGCCGUCCCUGGCUCACCAUUCGCUUCUCCAUGCACAGCUCCCCACUACAAGAAUGGGAAACCUGACUUCCAUGCCUAUAACAGUGCUGGUGUGUAAAGAAGAUAAACAAGAAAGAGGACCCGGGUACCUGCUGAGCCCAGAUAUGUUGAGUUGGAUACCUUAAAAUGAGGCAAGUAGAUUCAACAAGAUGGUGGCACCCAGGAGAACACUGCAUCUGAGGAACAGGACAACAUUUUCCAUACAGAGACCAAGAGACUGAUCUCUGGGCCCUAAAACAACAGUGAUUGUGUUUCCCAGAUAUCAUCUAAAAGACUCAAACCAGCAGUGGAUCAAAGCAGCUGCAGAGAGAUUCACAGCCAGAGUGGACAGAGUGCUUGGAGUUUAAUGGAAGAAGGGGAAUAUAAAAGACUCCAGGGAGGAGCCACAGGAGAACAACAACAACAGCAACAACAAAAAAAAAAAAAAAAAAAAAAAAAAGGAAAGAAAGAAAAA